rnacentral:rRNA from 1 species
UACGGGGGGGCAAGCGUUGUUCGGAAUUACUGGGCGUAAAGGGCCAGUAGGCGGCCAACUAAGUCGGACGUGAAAUCCCCAGGCUCAACCUGGGAACUGCGUCCGAUACUGGAUGGCUUGAAUUCGGGAGAGGGAUGCAGAAUUCCAGGUGUAGCGGUGAAAUGCGUAGAUAUCAGGAGGAACACCGGUGGCGAAGGCGCACAUCUGGCCCAAUACUGACGCUGAGGCGCGAAAGCUAGGGGAGCAAACGGG